GACGAACGCUGGCGGCGUGCUUAACACAUGCAAGUCGAACGCUGAAGACCUGUCUUUUGUUGGGUUGGAUGAGUGGCGAACGGGUGAGUAACACGUGAGUAACCUGCCCUCUUCUUUGGGAUAACGCCCGGAAACGGGUGCUAAUACUGGAUAUUCACUGUUCUUAUCAUGGGGAUUGGUGGAAAGGUUUGUUCUGGUAGGCGAUGGGCUCGCGGCCUAUCAGCUGGUUGGUGGGGUGAUGGCCUAACAAUGCUUUGACGGCUAGCCGGCCUGAGAGGGUGACCGGUGACAUUGGGACGGAGAAACGGCCCAGACGAGGACGGGAGGCAGAAGUGGGGAAUAUUGACGAAAGGGCGAAAGACUGAUGCAGCGACGGCGAGGGAGGGAUGGGGGUCUUCGGGUUGUAAACCUCGUGCGGUAAGGUUCAGGCCGCAAAAGGGGGUUGUAGUGACGGUAGUGGGUAAAGAAGCGACGGCUAACUACGUG
rnacentral:rRNA from 1 species